CCACAAACCAUUGAAUUUAUAUUCUACAAUGUUGGACAAAUAGUUUGCUAUCUGUCUUGGAUGACAAAAGUAUGCCAAUACAGAAAUCGGUACCUAAUAUAAAAAA
rnacentral:lncRNA from 1 species